UUUGGUGGCGAUAGCGAAGAGGUCACACCCGUUCCCAUACCGAACACGGAAGUUAAGCUCUUCAGCGCCGAUGGUAGUCGGGGGGUCCCCCUGUGAGAGUAGGACGCCGCCAAGC
rnacentral:rRNA from 1 species